CGGAGUGGCGAACGGGUGAGUAAUAUAUCGGAACGUACCGAGUAACGGGGGAUAACUAAUCGAAAGACUAGCUAAUACCGCAUAUUCUCUGAGGAGGAAAGCAGGGGACCUUCGGGCCUUGCGUUAUUCGAGCGGCCGAUAUCUGAUUAGCUAGUUGGUGGGGUAAAGGCCUACCAAGGCGACGAUCAGUAGCGGGUCUGAGAGGAUGAUCCGCCACACUGGGACUGAGACACGGCCCAG
rnacentral:rRNA from 1 species